GAUGAACGCUAGCGGCAGGCCUAAUACAUGCAAGUCGAACGGGAUCCAUUGGGAGCUUGCUCCUGGUGGUGAGAGUGGCGCACGGGUGCGUAACGCGUGAGCAACCUACCCUUGUCAGGGGGAUAGCCCGGCGAAAGUCGGAUUAACACCGCAUGACAUUACGAGAUGGCAUCAUUUUGUAAUCAAAUAUUUAUAGGACAGGGAUGGGCUCGCGUGACAUUAGCUGGUUGGUAAGGUAACGGCUUACCAAGGCUACGAUGUCUAGGGGCUCUGAGAGGAGAAUCCCCCACACUGGUACUGAGACACGGACCAGACUCCUACGGGAGGCAGCAGUAAGGAAUCUUGCGCAAUGGGGGCAACCCUGACGCAGCGACACAGCGUGGAGGAUGAAGGUCUUCGGAUUGUAAACUCCUUUUAUCUGGGAAGAAUAGAUGACUGUACCAUAUGAAUAAGUACCUGCUAACUACGUGCCAGAAGCAUCGGUGAUGCGUAGGGUACGAACGUUAUCCGGAUUUACUGGGCGUAUAGAGAUGCGUAGGCGGUUUGAUAAGUCUUAAGUUAAAGACCUUGGCUUAACUAAAGGAGAGCUUUCGAAACUAUCAGACUUGAGACAUAGAGGGGUGAACGGAAUUCCGAGUGGAGCGGUAAAAUGUGUUGAUAUUCGGAAGAACAUCAGUGGCGAAAGCGGUUCACUGGCUAUUGUCUGACGCUAAGGCUCGAAAGCGUGGGUAGCAAACAGGAUUAGAUACCCUGGUAGUCCACGCUGUAAACGAUGAGUGCUAGGUGUUGGCCAGCGAUGGUCAGUGCCGCAGUAAACACAAUAAGCACUCCGCCUGGGGAGUACGGUCGCAAGACUGAAACUCAAAGGAAUUGACGGGGACCCGCACAAGCAGCGGAGCAUGUGGUUUAAUUCGAAGCAACGCGAAGAACCUUACCAAGGCUUGACAUCCCCUUGACAGGUGCAGAGAUGUACCCUCUCCUUCGGGAGCAAGGGUGACAGGUGGUGCAUGGUUGUCGUCAGCUCGUGUCGUGAGAUGUUGGGUUAAGUCCCGCAACGAGCGCAACCCUUAUCCUUAGUUGCCAGCAAGUUAAGUUGGGCACUCUAAGGAGACUGCCGGUGAUAAACCGGAGGAAGGUGGGGAUGACGUCAAAUCAUCAUGCCCCUUAUGUCUUGGGCUACACACGUGCUACAAUGGUCGGUACAACGGGCAGCGAAAGAGCAAUCCGGAGCAAAUCCCAAUAAACCGAUCCCAGUUCGGAUUGUAGGCUGCAACUCGCCUACAUGAAGUCGGAGUUGCUAGUAAUCGCGAAUCAGAACGUCGCGGUGAAUGCGUUCCCGGGUCUUGUACACACCGCCCGUCACACCAUGGAAGUUGGUAAUACCCGAAGUCGCUGAGCUAACCGUAAGGGGGCAGGCGCCGAAGGUAGGAUCAAUGACUGGGGUG
rnacentral:rRNA from 1 species